UACGGAGGGUGCAAGCGUUGCUCGGAAUUACUGGGCGUAAAGCGCGUGUAGGCGGUUUCGUGUGUCUGAUGUGAAAUCCCCGGGCUCAACCCGGGAAGUGCAUUGGAAACUGCGAGACUAGAGUCCCGGAGAGGAAGGUGGAAUUCCAGGUGUAGCGGUGAAAUGCGCAGAUAUCGGGAGGAACACCGGUGGCGAAGGCGGUUCUCUGGGCCUGUACUGACGCUGAGGAGCGAAAGCGUGGGGAGCGAACAGG
rnacentral:rRNA from 1 species